GUACUCCUCUGAAGUUGGAUUUGAACUCAGGGCUUCCUGACUUCAAGCCAAGUGCCCUAGCUGCCUCACUUAGAAUCAGGCAUAGGUGGUUUAAGUUCUGUUCCAAUGUAUGCUAGCUAUGUGAAAAAUCCUUUUGAUUAUAAGUUUCUUCAGGGAAAGAACUGUUUUUCUUUUUAUUAAUUGUAUCCCAGCACUAUAAAUGUUUAUUAGAUUGGGUUGAUAUAGUUAAAUUAUUUACUCUCUUGAUGUCUACCAUAACUCUGUAAGGUUUCUAUAAAUUAGAGAAGAUAGUAAAUUUUAAUUAAUAGAGGGAAUCCUAUACUGGAAGUUCUCAGACUCUGAAGAAAAAAAAAAGAAACCCAUUCCCCCAAAUGAUAUAUUAAACACUUGCUAUCUUAAAACAUUAUGAUAGAUUCUGGGGACACAAAUUUAAAUAAGACACAGUACCUGCCCUCAAGGAGCUUCUAAUCUAAUAAAAAAAAUUUUUGAUUUCAGUCUUUUCAUAAGAAAGAAUACAAUAAAUGGAAAGAUGACAUCCAAGCAAAGUUCUAGGGUUAGUUCCUGUAGAAUAGGUGGAACCUAUAAGGAUGAAGAAGAAAAAAAGCUGAUCAGAGGAAAACUUUGACAAAAAGGGACUGUGACAAUAAUCAGGAAAAAUGAACCGGUAGUGAUCCUCAUGGUACUCAGGAGUUUGAAACAUGGAAACUUUGAAGUCAAGAUUUAAAUGAUAUGGUGCCUACAGCCAGCCCAGCAUGGAAGCCCUAUGAACUGAAGAUGUUUGGGUGGAGUCUCAUGAGAUUUAGAAUUGAUACUGUGGUCUAUAGCAAAGCUUCCUAAAUUGUGGGUCACAACCCCAUGUGGGGUCGCGUAACUGAAUGUAGGGGUUGUGAAAUUAUGAUGUAUUAUCAGUAAGCAUUUGAUUUAUGUUCCUAUUUUAUAUAUUUAUAAAUCUGGGGCUGUGUAAAAAUUAUUCUGGAGAAAGGGGAAAAGGUUUAAGAAGCCCUGUUCUGUAGGAGCUGAGCUAAACUACAAACCUAAUCCCUUUCCCCUCCACAGAGACUAAUAUGGGGGUGGGGAGGAUUAUGCCUUCCUUUAUAUUGAUAGAGUAAGUUUGUAUAUUUGAAUAUUUCUUAUGAAAUAAAUAUUCUUUUGUAAAGAACACUGUGUUAUACUUAUAUGAGUUAAAAAGUCUAUCUGGGAUUGUUUUCCUUGCCUUGAACAAAUAGUGACUUGUUUCUUUUUCUCAUAAUUAAGGGGCUAUACCCACACUAAGGAAGUCUGUAGGGACAUGGACCACUGUCAUAACUGACUACCACUGACUGACCACAGGAGAUUAGGUUCUAACACAACUAAUUUCACACUGAAAAUAAGCCUGAUUUGUUUUUGUUUUAAAAUAAGUCUUAUUACAAGCCAACUGUAAUUCCCAUCAGUUUAGCUUAAGCCUCACACUGGGUAAUGACUUGUCUUCACUGUAUUUAUUAGGCAGCAAAACCUCUUUUGAAUUACUCAUUCCUACUUCAGAGCAAGCAACUACUGGGUAUUCCCAGCUACUUCAGGCUUGUGUGGAUAAUCAGGGUUACUCAAAAACAUGGAGCCUCUGGGAGUUGUCAGAGAGGUUAGAGGAGUCUUGGACCCCUUCCUAAAAUAGCUGGAAAAACCACUUGCAGGGCAAGCUCU